rnacentral:rRNA from 1 species
GUGUCAGCAGCCGCGGUAACACGUAGGAGGCGAGCGUUGUCCGGAAUCAUUGGGCGUAAAGAGCGCGCAGGCGGCUUGGCAAGUCGGGUGUGAAAUCCCGGGGCUCAACCCCGUGACUGCAUUCGAUACUGUCAGGCUAGAGGUAGGUAGGGGAGAUCGGAAUUCCUGGUGUAGCGGUGAAAUGCGCAGAUAUCAGGAGGAACACCGGUGGCGAAGGCGGAUCUCUGGGCCUUACCUGACGCUCAGGCGCGAAAGCUAGGGGAGCGAACAGGAUUAGAAACCCCCGUAGUCC